ACUCGGAUAGCUCAGAAGGAAGAGCAGUUGACUUGUAAUCAAAAAGGUCCCGGGUUCGAGUCCCGGUCCGAGCU